GACGAACGCUGGCGGCGUGCCUAAUACAUGCAAGUAGAACGCUGAAGGAGGAGCUUGCUUCUCUGGAUGAGUUGCGAACGGGUGAGUAACGCGUAGGUAACCUGCCUGGUAGCGGGGGAUAACUAUUGGAAACGAUAGCUAAUACCGCAUAAGAGUAGAUGUUGCAUGACAUUUGCUUAAAAGGUGCAAUUGCAUCACUACCAGAUGGACCUGCGUUGUAUUAGCUAGUUGGUGAGGUAACGGCUCACCAAGGCAACGAUACAUAGCCGACCUGAGAGGGUGAUCGGCCACACUGGGACUGAGACAAGGCCCAGACUGCUACGGGAGGCAGCAGUAGGGAAUCUUCGGCAAUAGACGGAAGGCUGACCGAGCAACGCCGCAUGAGUGAAGAAGGUUGUCGGAUCGUAAAGCUCUGUUGUAAGAGAAGAAAGAGUGUGAGAGUGGAAAGUUCACACUGUGACGGUAUCUUACCAGAAAGGGACGGCUAACUACGUG
rnacentral:rRNA from 1 species